UACGGAGGAUGCAAGCGUUAUCCGGAUUCAUUGGGUUUAAAGGGUGCGUAGGCGGCUUUUUAAGUCAGUGGUGAAAUCCUGUCGCUUAACGAUAGAAUUGCCAUUGAUACUGAAGAGCUUGAGUUCAGUUGAGGUAAGCGGAAUGUGUAGUGUAGCGGUGAAAUGCUUAGAUAUUACACAGAACACCGAUUGCGAAGGCAGCUUACUAAACUGACACUGACGCUGAUGCACGAAAGCGUGGGGAG
rnacentral:rRNA from 1 species